rnacentral:lncRNA from 1 species
AUCUGAGAGGCACAGGCGCUGAAUCAUGGGGGUGAGGGUGAGGGGGCCUCAGUACCCAUGUCUGUCCCUGCUCAUCUGAAAAAUAUCCCUAGUUAUUGCAGGUGGGUGCUUAAUCAGUGCAGUUUUUGGGAUGCCAAAAGACUUUUUAUUUUUAUUUUUUAUUUUUUAAUUUUUUUAAAUCAACAGGACCUGGACGCUUUCCCCAUGAUGAGGAUGGGACCCAUCUAAUUUCAACACACACACACACACACACACAUACUCCUCACCACUCCUGCAGCACAACACGUCGAUAAAAGCUAGAGAAUCUGAGUUUCUUUUUUUUUGUCAAUAUAAGAACCUUGACAGAGUUGAAGAAAUAUAAAAAGAAGACACGUUCAUCACGAGCGACGUGACUCAUCAUCAAACGGCGGUAUUAAAUGAAUAUCAUAAACAGAGCCCUCCCUCCCUCCCUCCCUCGCUCGCAUCUCAUUAAGCGAGUCCCGCUGUAGCUAUAGGUGAAGCCGCCUCUCUCUGCCAUACUGAAGCAGGUGUCCAACAUGGCGAACACUGGCAGCGGCUCUCUCGCGACUAUUCUCUUUUUAUUCAUGUUUCAAGCGGCUCUUCACAAAGGGAGGGUUUUAUGGAUUGUUCCACUACACUAUGAAGCCAAGGUUACAGUGCGGCCCAUCAUGUCGACUUUCGUCAGCAUACUCUUCAACUGCUCCAGUUCAUGCCCAGACUGACCCCACUGCUACAUCCAGACACUCAGACUGUCUCAGUGCCCGCUGCAGUGCUUCACUCUACUAUUAACAUUCUGAUUGCCGUCUUGUUUCAUUUGCUUGGCCAAGCACUUUAUUUCCAAAAGGAGGCCGGCCUCGGUGCUGACCUUUCCAUUUGCUGAGAACGGAGCAAUCAUUCACAAAACACACUACUAAAUGUAAAAUAUCCAAACUGUUUGAUAUUGCAGGUCUAAUGAAAUGACUCACUUCUUUGCUGCAAUUAUAGGAAAAGGUCAGUGCCAUAACUGAUGUUGAGCUUCAACAUGAUUGUCCUACUUCACAUUAUCCAGUGUUUGGCUCAUAGAAUAUCAGUAUAGGCCAUAUUGUAUGACAUUGUGUCAGUGCGGUAUUUCACACUAUCAGAAAUAACUUAUUUGUGGAGAAUGCUCAGUUUGGAGUCUUCUUUGAAAUAAGUAUGUUAUGGUACAUUUGGUUAUAAUUCAGACAUUUAUGAGAUUGAGG